rfam:Ramazzottius varieornatus DNA, contig: Scaffold003, strain: YOKOZTNA-1.
GUCCUUGUGGUGUAGUGGUUAUCACGUCUGCUUUACACGCAGAAGAUCCCCGGUUCGAACCCGGGCAGGGACA